CGAACUCUACAACAAAUCCUCUUUUGACAGACAUUUCCGUUGCUGCGGGGAGUCUUUGUUUGAUAACAGGCGGGAACAGUGCUGUAAAUUGGCAGGUAUAACCGAAGUCCAGUCCUCAAAUGGGCACUGUUGUGGGACAGGUGUUUACAAUUCCUCCAGUCAAAUCUGUUGUUGUAACAACGUAUACGACUCAUCAAAUGGAACAAUUCAAUGUUGUGGGAACGGUUCAUAUGACAAAAGACAACAAACAUGCUGUCAUGGUAAAGUGCAUAACAUAAAACACGUGAACGACCCUAAAUGUUGUGGUAAAGACGUAUAUUCAACAACGUCACACUUAUGCUGCAGUGGUGACCAAAUAAUAAAGAAAAAUGCUUCUGACCACGAUCAAUGCUGUCUUCGGAAUUCAGAGUUCUACUCCUGCAAACAUCAGCCAAGGAGACCAUCGAUAAUUUGUGGGUACCAGCGGUAUAACAGUCAGACAGAUCUUUGCUGCAAUAAUCAGGUCCACAAGGGCGCCAAGGAAACUGGAAGAGAAUGCUGUCACCCAGGAAAAAGGGAUUAUGAUCCAAUAAAUGAGAAAUGUUGUCAUGGUUUGGUGAAAAGUAUUGC